rnacentral:rRNA from 1 species
AAAUUGAAGAGUUUGAUCAUGGCUCAGAUUGAACGCUGGCGGCAGGCCUAACACAUGCAAGUCGAGCGGUAGCACAGAGAGCUUGCUCUCGGGUGACGAGCGGCGGACGGGUGAGUAAUGUCUGGGAAACUGCCUGAUGGAGGGGGAUAACUACUGGAAACGGUAGCUAAUACCGCAUAACGUCGCAAGACCAAAGUGGGGACCUUCGGGCCUCAUGCCAUCAGAUGUGCCCAGAUGGGAUUAGCUGGUAGGUGGGGUAACGGCUCACCUAGGCGACGAUCCCUAGCUGGUCUGAGAGGAUGACCAGCCACACUGGAACUGAGACACGGUCCAGACUCCUACGGGAGGCAGCAGUGGGGAAUAUUGCACAAUGGGCGCAAGCCUGAUGCAGCCAUGCCGCGUGUGUGAAGAAGGCCUUCGGGUUGUAAAGCACUUUCAGCGGGGAGGAAGGCGGUGAGGUUAAUAACCUCAUCGAUUGACGUUACCCGCAGAAGAAGCACCGGCUAACUCCGUGCCAGCAGCCGCGGUAAUACGGAGGGUGCAAGCGUUAAUCGGAAUUACUGGGCGUAAAGCGCACGCAGGCGGUCUGUCAAGUCGGAUGUGAAAUCCCCGGGCUCAACCGGGAACUGCAUUCGAAACUGGCAGGCUAGAGUCUUGUAGAGGGGGGUAGAAUUCAGGUGUAGCGGUGAAAUGCGUAGAGAUCUGGAGGAAUACCGGUGGCGAAGGCGGCCCCCCGGACAAAGACUGACGCUCAGGUGCGAAAGCGUGGGGAGCAAACAGGAUUAGAUACCCUGGUAGUCCACGCUGUAAACGAUGUCGAUUUGGAGGUUGUGCCCUUGAGGCGUGGCUUCCGGAGCUAACGCGUUAAAUCGACCGCCUGGGGGAGUACGGCCGCAAGGUUAAAACUCAAAUGAAUUGACGGGGGCCCGCACAAGCGGUGGAGCAUGUGGUUUAAUUCGAUGCAACGCGAAGAACCUUACCUGGUCUUGACAUCCACAGAACUUUCCAGAGAUGGAUUGGUGCCUUCGGGAACUGUGAGACAGGUGCUGCAUGGCUGUCGUCAGCUCGUGUUGUGAAAUGUUGGGUUAAGUCCCGCAACGAGCGCAACCCUUAUCCUUUGUUGCCAGCGGUUAGGCCGGGAACUCAAAGGAGACUGCCAGUGAUAAACUGGAGGAAGGUGGGGAUGACGUCAAGUCAUCAUGGCCCUUACGACCAGGGCUACACACGUGCUACAAUGGCAUAUACAAAGAGAAGCGACCUCGCGAGAGCAAGCGGACCUCAUAAAGUAUGUCGUAGUCCGGAUUGAGUCUGCAACUCGACUCCAUGAAGUCGGAAUCGCUAGUAAUCGUAGAUCAGAAUGCUACGGUGAAUACGUUCCCGGGCCUUGUACACACCGCCCGUCACACCAUGGGAGUGGGUUGCAAAAGAAGUAGGUAGCUUAACCUUCGGGAGGGCGCUUACCACUUUGUGAUUCAUGACUGGGGUGAAGUCGUAACAAGGUAACCGUAGGGGAACCUGCGGUUGGAUCACCUCCUUA